UCACUCCUACGGGAGGCAGCAGUGGGGAAUAUUGCACAAUGGGCGCAAGCCUGAUGCAGCCAUGCCGCGUGUAUGAAGAAGGCCUUCGGGUUGUAAAGUACUUUCAGCAGUGAGGAAGGCGGGUACGUUAAUAGCGUGCUUGUUUGACGUUAGCUGCAGAAGAAGCACCGGCUAACUCCGUGCCAGCAGCCGCGGUAAUACGGAGGGUGCGAGCGUUAAUCGGAAUUACUGGGCGUAAAGCGCAUGCAGGUGGUUUGUUAAGUCAGAUGUGAAAGCCCGGGGCUCAACCUCGGAAUAGCAUUUGAAACUGGCAGACUAGAGUACUGUAGAGGGGGUAGAAUUUCAGGUGUAGCGGUGAAAAUGCGUAGAGAUCUGAAGGAAUACCGGUGGCGAAGGCGGCCCCCUGGACAGAUACUGACACUCAGAUGCGAAAGCGUGGGGAGCAAACAGGAUUAGAUACCCUGGUAG
rnacentral:rRNA from 1 species